CCUACGGGAGGCAGCAGUAGGGAAUAUUGCUCAAUGGGCGAAACCCUGAAGCAGCAACGCCGCGUGGAGGAUGAAGGUUUUAUGAUUUUAAACUCCUUUUGUUAGAGAAGAUAAUGACGGUAUCUAACGACUACGCACCUGCUAACUCCAUUCCAGCCGCCGCGGUCCUACGGAGGGUGCAAGCGUUACUCGGAAUCACUGGGCGUAACGAGCGCGUAGGCGGGAUAGCAAGUCAGAUGUGAAAUCCUAUGGCUUAACCAUAGAACUGCAUUUGAAACUGGUAUUCUAGAGUAUGGGAGAGGUAGGCGGAAUUCUUGGUGUAGGGGUAAAAUCCGUAGAGAUCAAGAGGAAUACUCAGUGCGAAGGCGACCUGCUAGAACAUAACUGACGCUGAUGCGCGAAAGCGUGGGGAGCAAACAGGAUUAGAUACCCCGGUAGUC
rnacentral:rRNA from 1 species